rnacentral:tRNA from 1 species
GCCAAGCUGGGCGGCGUGGUGGCCGGGGGCUUUCUGGGCGCCUUUGGCGUGUUCGCGCUGGUCGCCUGGCUGUGCAUCCUGGGCCUGGCGC